rnacentral:misc_RNA from 1 species
GUAAACGGCUACUUAAUAUAGCAAUGCAGCUCCGGAAAUGCUGUAAUCACCCAUAUUUGUUUCAAGGUGCUGAACCUGGGCCUCCUUACACCACAGGGGACCAUCUUAUUACUAGUGCUGGUAAAAUGGUUCUUUUGGACAAGUUGCUUCCAAAACUGAAAGAGCGUGAUUCUAGAGUCCUAAUAUUUUCGCAGAUGACAAGGCUGUUGGACAUUCUUGAAGAUUAUUUAAUGUUUCGUGGAUACUAUUACUGUCGAAUUGAUGGUAACACUGGUGGUGAAGAUCGUGAUGCAUCCAUUGAUGCCUUCAACAGGCCAGGAAGUGAAAAAUUU